AACAGGCUGGCUGCUCUCUGAGACACACUGCUGAAGGAAAGGGGACAUAAUACAUCCAGGACCAGACGGGACUGGGCUGGGCUGGACGGGUGGAGAGGAAGACAAGUCUGCCAGUGGAAAGGAGGGACGGAGAGAUGAAAGAGGUCAAGCUUCAUUGUUUACAUGUGGGCACUGGACUCGAGCUGACGUGUGCAUCCAUCUUCAGUUAGCUUCUGAAAGCAGAGCGGCCCUGGAUCGUCUCCCGGCCCUGCAGCUUCCAGACAGCAGGCGCAUGCUCGAGAAGUACAAAGAUGCUGAUGUCUUAUUUUGGGAUUUAAGUCUUCAUUUGGCUCAUUUAUCUGACAUACGCCAACUUACAUUCAUCCACCCGCCCUCUCCAUCUGCAGUCUGUCAUUCCACUGCACAGUUCACCUCACAUGAACUCUGAUGUGACAGCGUACUGACAGCUAAUCAAAACAGCAUUAGCUACUUUGCAAAAAAUUAUA